GGAGGGAGCUAGCGUUGUUCGGAAUCACUGGGCGUACAGGGCGCGUAGGCGGCCGAGUAAGUCGUGUGUGAAAGACCGGGGCUCAACUCCGUGUACUGCAUGCGAUACUGCCCGGCUAGAGAAAGGUAGAGGCGAGUGGAAUUCCCGGUGUAGCGGUGGAAUGCGUAGAUAUCGGGAAGAACACCUGUGGCGAAGGCGGCUCGCUGGGCCUUUUCUGACGCUGAAGUGCGAAAGCGUGGGGAGCAAACAGGAUUAGAUACCCUGGUAGUCCACGCCGUAAACGAUGGGCACUAGGCGUUGGGAGGAUUGACCCUCUCAGUGCCGUAGCUAACGCGUUAAGUGCCCCCGCCUGGGGAUACGGCCGCAAGGCUG
rnacentral:rRNA from 1 species